CCUACGGGGGGCAGCAGUGGGGAAUAUUGGGCAAUGGGCGCAAGCCUGACCCAGCAACGCCGCGUGAAGGAAGAAGGCUUUCGGGGUGUAAACUUCUUUUGUCAGGGACGAAGCAAGUGACGGUACCGGACGAAUAAGCCACGGCUAACGACGUGCCAGCAGCCGCGGUAAUACGUAGGUGGCAAGCGUUAUCCGGAUUGAUUGGGUGUAAAGGGCGGGGAGGCGGGAAGGCAAGUCAGAUGUGAAAACUAGGGGCUCAACCCAUAGCCUGCAUUUGAAACUGUAUUUCUUGAGUGCUGGAGAGGCGAUCGGAAUUCCGUGUGUAGCGGUGAAAUGCGUAGAUAUACGGAGGAACACCAGUGGCGAAGGCGGCUUGCUGGACAGUAACUGACGCUGAGGCGCGAACGCGUGGGGAGCAAACAGGAUUAGAUACCCGAGUAGUC
rnacentral:rRNA from 1 species